rnacentral:lncRNA from 1 species
GUUAUCUUUGUGGUUGCUUAAGUGGCUGGUGAUUUGAGUUUUAAAUAAUAUUAUCUUUGUGGUUGCCUAAGUGGCUGGUUAUUUGGGUUUAAAUGUUGUUAUCUUUGUGGUUGCCUAAGUGGCUGGUGAUUUGAGUUUUAAAUAAUGUUAUCUUUGUGGUUGCCUAAGUGGCUGGUGAUUUGAGUUUUAAAUAAUGUUAUCUUUGUGGUUGCCUAAGUGGCU